rnacentral:misc_RNA from 1 species
GAUGAAGAACGUAGCGAAAUGCGAUAAGUAAUGUGAAUUGCAGAAUUCAGUGAAUCAUCGAAUCUUUGAACGCACAUUGCGCCCGCCAGUAUUCUGGCGAGCAUGCCUGUUCGAGCGUCAUUUCAACCAUCAAGCCCCAGGCUUGUGUUGGAGCCCUGCGGCUGCCGCAGCCUCCCAAAACCAGUGGCGGGCUCGCUAUCACACCGAGUGCAGUAGUUUACUCUUCGCUCAGGGCGUGUGGCGGGUGCUAGCCGUGAAACCCCCAACUUCUCAAGGUUGACCUCGGAUCAGGUAGGAAUACCCGCUGAACUUAAGCAUAUCAAUAAGCGGACGA